rnacentral:rRNA from 1 species
AACGAACGCUGGCGGCAUGCCUAACACAUGCAAGUCGAACGAAGUCUUCGGACUUAGUGGCGCACGGGUGCGUAACGCGUGGGAAUCUGCCCUUGGGUACGGAAUAACUCAGAGAAAUUUGUGCUAAUACCGUAUAAUGUCUUCGGACCAAAGAUUUAUCGCCCAAGGAUGAGCCCGCGUAAGAUUAGCUAGUUGGUGGGGUAAAAGCCUACCAAGGCGACGAUCUUUAGCUGGUCUGAGAGGAUGAUCAGCCACACUGGGACUGAGACACGGCCCAGACUCCUACGGGAGGCAGCAGUGGGGAAUAUUGGACAAUGGGCGAAAGCCUGAUCCAGCAAUGCCGCGUGAGUGAUGAAGGCCCUAGGGUUGUAAAGCUCUUUUACCAGGGAUGAUAAUGACAGUACCUGGAGAAUAAGCACCGGCUAACUCCGUG